CCUACGGGAGGCAGCAGUGGGGAAUUUUGGACAAUGGGCGCAAGCCUGAUCCAGCAAUGCCGCGUGAGUGANUAAGGCCUUCGGGUUGUAAAGCUCUUUUGUCAGGGAAGAAACGGUCCGGGUUAAUACCUUGGACUAAUGACGGUACCUGAAGAAUAAGCACCGGCUAACUACGUGCCAGCAGCCGCGGUAAU
rnacentral:rRNA from 1 species